CAGGGUUCUAAUCAUUUAAGUGCACCGGAACAAAAAAGUUCACAUAGAGAGCCUGCUUCCCAGUUUUGGCCUGUUUGCUUCCAUUUCAUGGCUAGUGAAUAAGACCCUGGUAUUUAGACUAGCCUUAUUCAGAGUGAUGCGUGCCAAGUUGUUAUUGUCUGGAGCCCAUCAUCCUUCUUUGCUUUAAUAUUGUGACAGUACACAGAUCUCUUCUAAUCAAAGAUUUUCAAUCCAGGAAGUUGAGGUAGCGCAGUCUGAGGCCAGUUAAAAACUUCUUUGGGAUCGGUGUCCCUUCCACGGGACGGUUGAGCUAAUGUAGGCUAAUGCAAUUAUCAAGAGGUUGUAAGUAACAAGACAAUUUCCCAAUAUCAGACCUAUCUGAUAUUGUCAGAAGGCUUACAUUCUUGUUAAUCUAACUGAACUGUUCUAUUUACAGUAGUUAUUACAGUGAAAUAAUGCCAUGCUAUUGUUUGAGGAGAGUGCACAAUUUUGAACGUUAUUUAUAAACAAAUUAGGCACAUUUGGGCAGUCUUGAGUCAAAAGUUUGAACCACAAUGCAAUGGUUCAUUGGAUCAGUCUAAAACGUUGCAUAUACACUGCUGCCAUCUAGUGGCCAAAAUCUAAAUUGCGUAUGGGCUGGAAUAAUACAUUAUGGCCUUUCUCUUGCAUUUCAAAGAUGAUGGUACAAAAAAAUACAAACAAAUUGUUGUUUUUUUCUUUGUAUUAUCUUUUACCAGAUCUAUUGUGUUAUAUUCUCCUACAUUCCUUUCACAUUUCAACAAGCUUCAAAGUGUUUCCUUUCAAAUGGUACCAAGAAUAUGCAUAUCCUUGCUUCAGGGCCUGAGCGACACGCAGUUAGAUUUGGGUAUGACAUUUUAGUCGAAAAUGGAAAAAAAGGUGCUUAAUAACGUAUGGCUUGAGACCUGGCCAGCCAUAGCAAACCCCAGACAACUAUACCUAGAGGUAUUUAAAGUGUAGACUAGUUGAUGGCUUUUCACAGCCCCCUUCAGCACAAAAGUGCCCCUGUCUUCUGUCCCUUAUUUUGGUUUCCAUAAAAAGGCCAGGUGUGUGAGUUUAACCUGUGUCUACACCCUCUUGUAACCCACCUCCAUGUCUCCCCCUCAGACACACACACUCAACCCUCCUGAGGGUCUGUUGCCUUGUCGUGCCAGAUGAUUUACCUAUAGCUUUCUGUAAAAAUAACCCCUAGCGCUUCUCAGCCCCUUAAAUAUCCACCGACUUGCAGUUCGAGUUGAUUUAAUCUCAUGUGCUUGUGUUUGCGUUCACAUGCAUGUACACUCAUACACACAUACUGCCUAAACAUAUUCAUCCUGAGAAUUAUAUUUUAAUUAGAACUAGGUCUACUUGAGACGGAAUGAAGCUUUUAAAAGCUUUUUAGAUUUUGAACAAGAUUAACUAGGAAAUGUAACAAACAAUCAAUCUUUGACUUUAGGCCUAUUUUGUAAAACAGGACAGUGGAACAGAGGAAUGUAGCCCAACUUUUAUUAUGGUCUGUGUAUAUAGAAAGUAUCUGACUAAUCUCAAGUCACUGUGUGUGUGUGUGUGUGUGUGUAUUUACGUCGACCUGCUCCAUUUCUGCCUUGUCCCACCCAGUUGUUGUUGACGUUCGGCUGUGUUGAGAGCAGAGGUCCCUGAACUCCUUGAGCCUGCUGUUUUGCAUCGUUAUCUGAGAUCUAGCUCUCUCCUCAGGCCUCCAACAGGAUCACUGAAACACCUGGUGUUAGUGGAGCAGAGGCGGGGUCACCCCCCCAGUAAACACAAGAUCAGUAAAAGUGUGUGUGUUGAGAGAUUGACAGGGGCUGGGAGCAGAAGUUUAAAUGGCUGAUAGACUGAAUGAAAACACAGUGUGUUUUGCCUUAGCGUUACUUAGGUGACAUUGGAACCACCACUCUAAGUGGUACCACAUGGUGGUGUGUGUGUUCAUACGUGCAUUCCUGUGUUUUCAUCUAUUGCCCAGGACCUGCACCCAGUAUCAAAUAGCAUAUGCUACAGGAAGUAGCAUAUAUGGAGAUAGAGCACUGUUUGGCUAAAGUUGUCCAAAUAGGAACGCCAGCUCAAUUUGUGAUACUUGCCAAACUUGCCAAUUCAAUCCAUUAUAUACAGCAUUUCAUUAACAGAACACACAAGUCAGAUGAUGAUUCCACACUGCUUUAGAAACUAUUCAAGUGUUUUGAAUAGAGAACAUAAUUGCCAGCCGCACAUCUUGUCAACGCAAACAGCCAAAUAGUCUCAAAGACAAAAGAAAAUCCAGUCUCCAUUUGUUGGACAUUGUGUGUAUCUGUGUGGCAGAAAAUCAGCUCAUUCAGAGUCUCUACAGUACCACCACACUGCCCCAAUAUCAAGCCUGUUAUUUUCUCAGCCAUUGUUAAACCCCCAUGGUUGGUUGAGCCUAAUCUCUCUCUCUCUCUCUCUCUCUUUACUGUGUGAGAUAAACAGCUACAGUACUGUCUUUACUGUGUGAGAUAAACAGCUACAGUAUUGUCUUUACUGUGUGAGAUAAACAGCUACAGUACUGUCUUUACUGUGUGGUGAACAGCUACAGUACUGUCUUUACUGUGUGGUAAACAGCUACAGUAUUGUCUUUACUGUGUGGUGAACAGCUACAGUACUGUCUUUACUGUUUUGAUGUUACUCUUUUUCUCUGCUAUGUUUUCGAUUUCUCACUUUUAGUUUCUUCCCUUUUCUACUCUGAGCUUUUAGAAUUCCCCCCACACUCGCCUCUGCUCAUUGUCAGAUUGAAAGAAAGUUAUUGUGGCCUCCUGAGUGGUGCAGCGGUCUAAGGCACUUCAUCGAAUUGCUAGAGGCGUCACGACAGACCCGGAUUCGAACCAGGGCUGUAUCACAACCGGACGUGAUCGGGAGUCCCAUAGGGCGGCACACAAUUGGCCCAGCAUUGUCCGGGUUAGGGGAGGGUUUGGCCAGGGGGGCUUUACUUGGCUCAUUGUGCUCUAGCGACUCCUUGGGUCAUCAGGUGAACGGUGUUUCCUCUGACACAUUGGUGCGGCUGGCUUCCUGGUUAAGAGGGCGGGUGUUAAGAAGCGUGGUCUUCGAAGGACGCAUGAUUCAACCUUCACCUCCCGAUCCCGUUGGGGAGAUGCAGUGAGAGAUCGAAAUUGGGGGGGAAAAAAAAAUGUCUUAUCGUUUGAGGAUAUCGAUGUAUAACAUUUGUAUAAUCCUUUUAUUAAACCGGCCCUGCCCCUUUCUUUCUCUCUCUCUCUCACUCACUCACUCACUCACUCACUCACUCACUCACUCACUCACUCACUCACUCACUCACUCACUCACUCACUCACUCACUCACUCACUCACUCACUCACUCACUCACUCACUCACUCACUCACUCACUCACGCAGCUUGGCACAAAGGUCCUUUGUCGAGCCAUGCAUGUAGGGAGAAAUUAAAUUACAGACC
ensembl:lncRNA